GAUGAACGCUGGCGGCGUGCCUAAUACAUGCAAGUCGAGCGAACGGACGAGAAGCUUGCUUCUCUGAUGUUAGCGGCGGACGGGUGAGUAACACGUGUAUAACCUACCUAUAAUACUGGGAUCACUUCGGGAAACCGGAUCUAAUACCGUAUAAUAUUUUGAUCCGCAUGGUUCAUAAGUGAAAUACGGUCUUGCUGUCACUUAUCGCUGCAUCCGCGCUGCAUUAGCUAGUUGGUAAGGUAACGGCUUACCAAGGCAACGAUGCGUAGCCGACGUGAGAGGGGGAUCGGCGACACGGGAGCGGAACCGCGGUCCAGAGUCCUACGGGAGGGAGCAGUAGGGAAUCUGACGCAAUGGGCGAAAGCCUGGCGGAGCAACGCCGCGUGAGUGAUGAAGGUCUUCGGAUCGUAAAACUCUGUUAUUAGGGAAGAACAUAUGUGUAAGUAACUGUGCACAUCUUGACGGUACCUAAUCAGAAAGCAACGGCUAACUACGUG
rnacentral:rRNA from 1 species